AAUUCUGUGAUGAGGGCAUCUUCACAGUAGUUCUUUAAACCUUUCUCAUGCUUAUACAAGGACUCGUCAUCCAUCUACUGAAAGGUAGUGAUCUUGUUCUGCAACU
rfam:Gossypium hirsutum cultivar TM-1 chromosome 6, whole genome shotgun sequence